AUUGAAUGCUGGCGGCAGGCCUAACACAUGCAAGUCGAGCGGAUCGGCGGUCGGGUGAGUAAUGCCUAGGAAUCUGACUGGGAGUGGGGGAUAACGUCAGGAAACGGACGCUAAUACCACAUACUAUUAGAUGAGCCUAGGUCGGAUUAGCUAGUUGGUGGGGUAAGGGCCUACCAAGGCGACGAUCCGUAGCUGGUCUGAGAGGAUGAUCAGUCACACUGGAACUGAGACACGGUCCAGACUCCUACGGGAGGCAGCAGUGGGGAAUAUUGGACAAUGGGCGAAAGCCUGAUGCAGCCAUGCCGCGUGUGUGAAGAAGGUCUUCGGAUUGUAAAGCACUUUCAGCGGGGAGGCGUUACCAGCAGAAUAAGCACCGGCUAACUUCGUGCCAGCAGCCGCGGUAAUAC
rnacentral:rRNA from 1 species